UGCAUUCCCAGCCAAUUCCAGCACCUGAAUGCCCAAAACAAUAGCUAUCAGAACAUGGAGAAUGUUAUUCAACUUGACCACCAAAAAAAAGAAUAAUAAUAAUAAUAAUUGGAGAAUUCAAAAGAACAGUAGCUAGUACCAUUUAACUAGCUAGCAAAAAAGUAUAAUCAGAUCAAAUGGAAACAAGUCACAAUCUCUUUUCCCCAAAAACCCAAAUUCAACUGCAUGGACAAAUCAAUAUAUCAAUUGACUAAUAUUUGGAGACAAUAAGAAAGCAUUUGAAGCUCCAUGUGUUAGUUGCAAUAGCUCCAUAAAGUAUAAUUCUUGCAACAUAACAUUUUGCAUCAUUUUCUCAACCACCAAACAGACAUUUAGGACCAAAAUUAGGAAACAAACUCCAAAUUCGGCACAGCUCACAGCUAACAAAAUCCCAACUGAUAUUCAACACAUUAGCAGUAUAAGGCCCAACAUGCAAGAAUCGAAUAUCUGAAAAAUUCACAACAGCAUAAAAUCCUAAAGGACAGGAUAUAGAGGUUACUUCAGCAGCCAAGUACUCGAGCACUGCAGCCAAGUAAACUGGAGCGCCCGUUCCAACCCGCUCGGAAUAUCUCCCCUUCUUCAAGUAACGCCCGAUUCUCCCAACGGGAAACUGCAGACCCGCUUUGACCGACCUAGAAACGGCCUUCUUCUUCGGACCUCCACCUUUCCUCCCUCCAGCUCCCUUUUUCAGUUUCCCUCCCGUCUCCAUCUGCCAGGAAAGAUGAUUCGACCCGUUUAUAUUCACGGAGAAACAGGAGGCCGCCGAUAUGCUUUUCC
rnacentral:misc_RNA from 1 species